GUUUUGUAUCAUUUGUUUUCUCUUUCUUUCUUUCUUUCUUUCUUUCUUUCUUUCUUUCUUUCUUUCUUUCUUUCUUUCUUUCUUUCUUUUUUUCUUACACUUCAGAUUUUAUUCCCAUCUUGGUUCACCCUCUGACUUCCACAUCCCAUAACUCCUCCCCACCCCCUAAACGCCUAUAUAUAUAAGCAAUGCUAAAUGGACUUAGGUACACACACACACACACACACACACACACACACACACACACACAUACACACACAUUUUACAAUGAAUCUAGAUUACAUAUAUGUACACACAUAUGUACAUAUAUACACAUAUAAAAACACAUAUCAUGCAAAUAAAAAUACAUAUAUGACAUGAAAAAAAUCUAGGGGACUAUUUUCAGGAGGAAAGGACUAGCAGGAGAGAAGAUGAAUAACGAUGGAAAAUCAUAGUACUUGUGUGAGCAUGCAGAAUGUGCUGUGAUGGUCUUACGUGCUGGUCUGAAUAAGAGUAGCUUCUCCCUAGUACUAUCAUAUUUGAAUGCUUGGUCAACAGGGAGUGGUGCUAUUUGAAAGGAUUAGGACAUGUGACUUUGUUGGAAGUAGAGUGUCACUGGGGUGGGCCUUCAAGUUAAAAGCCAUGUCAGGUGACACCUGUAGGUCAGGAUGUAAAGCCCUCAGCGCUAGAGUCAUGCCAGCCCAUGUGCCACUGUGCUCCCCACUAUAACGAUAAUGUACUCACAUUCUGAAACUGGAUGCAAACCUCUAGCUAUAUGUUGGCUUUUAUCAGAGUUGUUGGGUUCAUUGUGUCAUUUCGCCAAAAUAGAACAGUGACUAAGAUAACAUAAAUGAAAAUGUCAUAAUGAAACACAUUAAUUGGUAUGAAAACUGAAAAAAAACAAGGAAAAAUGCAAAGAUUAGAUUACUACUGACAUACACAUUAAACUAAACAAUGAAUGCAAAAUCUUUAGCAAAGUGUGGUAGGAGGUGAAUCACUGAUAACCCUUACUGCUUGCUGUUUUUUCUGAAUACUGUUGCUUGUGUGGAUCUCUAUUAAUCUUUAUUAUGAAUACUUUUCCACUCAUGAUUUCUUUACAUGUCAUUGUCUGUUUUCUUUUUGUUCUAGUUAUUUUGUUUUAGAGACAGGAUCUCACUUCGUAUCACCCACUGCCUGGCUUGAAACUUGCUUUGGAGAUCAGGCUCGUGUUGGACUCAGAGAGAUCCUCUUGGUUCAGCCUCCUGAGUGCUGGGAAUAGACGUGUGCAUAACUACUCCCCAGCCUUCCUUGUGGUUUUAAUGUCAGAAUUAUGUGGAUUUUUGUAAAAAUAAAUUGCCUUAUUGUUUCCUGUGGUCCAAUGUAUAUUGUAUCAACUUGAACUAGUUUGUGGGUCAUCAGAAUUUAAAAUUAAUCACAUUGCCAGCACAAUUUGUCAACACAUAAUUAUAUAUUUAGAUGAUAUUAUUAUUUUUGUUCAGGUUUUCCAAUUUUUUUUCAGCCAUUUAAAAUUUUCCAUAAAACUGCUUUUGUUUACAUUAAAAAACUUUAAGCAAUUGGAGCAUGUAAUUAAAGGUAUUCAAUUAAAUGCCUAAAAGUUCUGUCUGUUUUCCUUUUUAAUGUUGUUGUUUAUAGUCUGGUUUCAUUCACUUAGCUGUUUCUGCUUUUAUAUUUCCCAAUGCUCCUUUCUUGUAGGGUUUGUAACCUCUUGAUUAUACUAGCCCUGGCCUUUCUUUUAACAUAGCUUUAAGCUAUAGAUCUUUGCCUAAGAUUGAAUUAUCUAUGUCCUAUGAGACUUCAUAUAGAUUUUGUCUUUGUCAUUCUGUUUUAUAAGUUGUGAAUUUUCAGGUUUCUUAAAUCUGUAGACUACUCAAAGUUCUGUUUUUCAGCAUGUCCAUUAUGGAGGUCGAGGUAAAGGGUAUGGAAGUUCAGGUCCAGGAUUAAGUGUGUGAAUGGAGGAUCUAGGUUUGUCACUCCUGUGUCUUGUGUUGAGAUUUACCGUGCUUUGGCAUAAGGUCAUUUAUGUGUGUGCCUGGAAGGCAUGGAUAUCUUGUAAUUAUUAGAUACAAAGCUUUAGAGCUUUAAUAUUUGUUAAUUAGAUUAUUGAGUUAUUAAAUUACCAUUACCUUUUUAUUAGCCACUUGGCAAUUGAUGAUACAAAUACAGUAAAAAGCUUUAUUAUGAUGGGAAUCUUUGCCCUGUUUGUUAUAUUUACAUCUGUGCUAUUAGAUGUUUAUGGAAGAAAUUUAUUGUACUUUGUUGAAUUAUUUAAUUUUUAUUAUUUAGUGACUGCCUCUAUUCCUUAAUAACGUUUUUACUGAGAAUGAAAAGCUGGCCAUUAAUCUAGUGACCUCAGGUUUGCUGUCAUUUCUUGAGAACACUCUACCUCAUUGUGUUUUAGCUGUGAUUAUUGUCAGUUCUUUGUUACCGCAUUUUACAGUUCACGCUAGUUGUUGAUCACAGUAUGAUUGUUCUUUGUUUAUAUGAUCACUUUCGUGCUUAAUUGGUAGUAACCUAUUUUAUAUUUUCUGUUCUUUUCAGUUUUUAAAUUCUAUUAUGACUUAUUUUUGGGAAAUGUUUUGAUAGGUUAUGGGGUUUUAGACAGGAGAAAUGGGGGGUGGAC
rnacentral:lncRNA from 1 species